rnacentral:rRNA from 1 species
GUGCCAGCAGCCGCGGUAAUACGAAGGGUGCUAGCGUUGUUCGGAAUUACUGGGCGUAAAGCGCGCGUAGGCGGCUUUUCAAGUCAGGGGUGAAAUCCCACGGCUCAACCGUGGAAUUGCCUUUGAAACUGUAAAGCUUGAGUGUCGGAGGGGAUAGCGGAAUUGCUAAUGUAGAGGUGAAAUUCGUAGAUAUUAGCAGGAACACCGGUGGCGAAGGCGGCUAUCUGGACGACAACUGACGCUGAGGCGCGAAAGCGUGGGGAUCAAACAGGAUUAGAUACCCUGGUAGUCC